rnacentral:rRNA from 1 species
GAUGAACGCUGGCGGCGUGCCUAAUACAUGCAAGUCGAGCGAACAGAUGAGGAGCUUGCUCCUCUGACGUUAGCGGCGGACGGGUGAGUAACACGUGGAUAACCUACCUAUAAGACUGGGAUAACUUCGGGAAACCGGAGCUAAUACCGGAUAAUAUAUUGAACCGCAUGGUUCAAUAGUGAAAGACGGUUUUGCUGUCACUUAUAGAUGGAUCCGCGCCGCAUUAGCUAGUUGGUAAGGUAACGGCUUACCAAGGCAACGAUGCGUAGCCGACCUGAGAGGGUGAUCGGGCACACUGGAACUGAGACACGGUCCAGACUCCUACGGGAGGCAGCAGUAGGGAAUCUUCCGCAAUGGGCGAAAGCCUGACGGAGCAACGCCGCGUGAGUGAUGAAGGUCUUCGGAUCGUAAAAAUCUGUUAUUAGGGAAGAACAAAUGUGUAAGUAACUAUGCACGUCUUGACGGUACCUAAUCAGAAAGCCACGGCUAACUACGUG